rnacentral:rRNA from 1 species
GAUGAACGCUAGCGGCAGGCCUAACACAUGCAAGUCGAGGGAGAAGCCCUUUCGGGGGCCGAAACCGGCGCACGGGUGCGUAACGCGUAUGCAACCUACCUUUCACAGGGGGAUAGCCCGAAGAAAUUUGGAUUAAUACCCCAUAAUAUUAUUGGAUGGCAUCAUUUGAUAAUUAAAACUGCGGUGGUGAAAGAUGGGCAUGCGUCCUAUUAGCUAGUUGGAGUGGUAACGGCACCCCAAGGCUACGAUAGGUAGGGGUCCUGAGAGGGAGAUCCCCCACACUGGUACUGAGACAGGGACCAGACUCCUACGGGAGGCAGCAGUGAGGAAUAUUGGUCAAUGGUCGGAAGACUGACCCAGCCAUGCCGCGUGCAGGAAGAAUGCCUUAUGGGUUGUAAACUGCUUUUAUAUGGGAAGAAUAAGGCGUACGUGUACGUUGAUGACGGUACCAUAUGAAUAAGCAUCGGCUAACUCCGUG